rnacentral:rRNA from 1 species
CAUGCAAGUCGAACGGAAUCCAUGGUGUAGCAAUACACCGGAAGAUUUAGUGGCGAACGGGUGAGGAUCACGUGAGAAACGUGCCCCAGACUCUGGGAUAACAAUUGGAAACGAUUGCUAAUACCGGAUGACGUCGGAGAAUCGCAUGAUUCACUGACGAAAGAUAUUUCGGUUUGGGAGCGUCUCGCGGCCUAUCAGCUUGUUGGUGGGGUAAUGGCCUACCAAGGCAACGACGGGUAGCUGGUCUGAGAGGAUGAUCAGCCACACUGGGACUGAGACACGGCCCAGACUCCUACGGGAGGCAGCAGUGGGGAAUCUUGCGCGAUGGGCGAAAGCCUGACGCAGCAACGCCGCGUGCGGGAUGAAGGCCUUCGGGCUGUAAACCGCUUUCAGCAGGAACGAAAAUGACGGUACCUGCAGAAGAAGGAGCGGCCAACUACGUGCCAGCAGCCGCGGUGACACGUAGGCUCCAAGCGUUGUCCGGAUUUAUUGGGCGUAAAGAGCUCGUAGGCGGUUGAGUAAGUCGGGUGUGAAAACUCUGGGCUUAACCCGGAGACGCCAUCCGAUACUGCUCUGACUAGAGUUCAGGAGGGGAGUGGGGAAUUCCUAGUGUAGCGGUGAAAUGCGCAGAUAUUAGGAGGAACACCGGUGGCGAAGGCGCCACUCUGGACUGAAACUGACGCUGAGGAGCGAAAGCAUGGGUAGCAAACAGGAUUAGAUACCCUGGUAGUCCAUGCCGUAAACGGUGGGCACUAGGUGUGGGUUCCAACUAACGGGAUCCGCGCCGUCGCUAACGCAUUAAGUGCCCCGCCUGGGGAGUACGGUCGCAAGACUAAAACUCAAAGGAAUUGACGG